rnacentral:rRNA from 1 species
GAAGUAAAAGUCGUAACAAGGUUUGCCAGCGUAGGUGACGCAGCGAAGCUUCUCCCCCCGGGGAGCGAGCACCCGCACCUAUGGAAGCCUUGCAGUCCAGUCUGUCUUGGAUAGGCAACACCGGCAUGAUGACUGGGACCUUACCUCAACCGGUAAGCACCAGCAGCUGCUAACGCGGCUCACAGAUCAAACGUCGGUGGCUCAGAGAGGUCGCGGCCACCCGCUGCCUGGGACGCCUGCGCGCUCGCCUCUGAGUUGAGAGAUGACCGGCCCCACCACGCGAGUGAUCGGGAACUGUCGCGUUCCGUAGGUGAACCUGCGGAAGGAUCAUUACUGAGAUAGGGUCCUCCGGGCCCGAACCUCCAACCCUCUGUCUACCAUACCUUUGUUGCUUUGGCGGGCCCGCUGGGGAGACCCUCCGCCGGCGCUGAGCCGGUGAGCGCCCGCCGAAGACCCUCAAAACUCCCGCCUGUCAGUGUCGUCUGAGUACCGAACAAUCGUUAAAACUUUCAACAACGGAUCUCUUGGUUCUGGCAUCGAUGAAGAACGCAGCGAAAUGCGAUAAGUAAUGUGAAUUGCAGAAUUCAGUGAAUCAUCGAAUCUUUGAACGCACAUUGCGCCCCCUGGUAUUCCGGGGGGCAUGCCUGUUCGAGCGUCAUUACACCUCUCAAGCCCUGCUUGGUGUUGGGCAUCCGUCCCCCGGGACGGGCCCGAAAGUGAGUGGCGGUGCAGCCUGACUUCAAGCGCAGUAACUUAAAAACCCGCUUCGGGAGCCUUCAGGCUUGGGCCGGCCAGACAACCCAACUGUAUUUUCUUAUGGUUGACCUCGGAUC